rnacentral:rRNA from 1 species
GACGAACGCUGGCGGCGUGCCUAAUACAUGCAAGUAGAACGGGGUUUAGUAAACGUUGGCCUUGGUGGAUGAUUACCAAACAGAGUGGUGACCCGUUGAGUAACGGGCGUGCAACCUGCCUUUAACAGUGGGAUCGCUACCGGAUACCGGGUUUAAUACCGUAUAAAAUCGUAGUAACUUAUAUUUCACCGUUCCUAGAUUUAACGAUCAUAGAGGGGCUUGUGUCUGAAUAGGUAGUUGGAUAGAUAACAGCCCACCAAGGCCACGAUCAGUAGCCGGUCUGAAGGGAUGAACCGCCACCUUAGAACUGGCACACGGUCCAAACUCCUACGGGAGGCAGCAAUGGGGAAUAAUGCACAAUGGGGGAGACCCUGAGGCAUCCGCGCCGCAUAAACGUAGAAGAUAUUCGUAUCGUAAAGGUCUGUCCAAUGGGAAGAUAAUGACAGUACCAUAGAAGAAAGCGCCGGCUAAAUACGUG